AGUGAACGCUGGCGGUAGGCCUAACACAUGCAAGUCGAACGGCAGCACAGUAAGAGCUUGCUCUUACGGGUGGCGAGUGGCGGACGGGUGAGGAAUACAUCGGAAUCUACUUUUUCGUGGGGGAUAACGUAGGGAAACUUACGCUAAUACCGCAUACGACCUACGGGUGAAAGCAGGGGAUCUUCGGACCUUGCGCGAUUGAAUGAGCCGAUGUCGGAUUAGCUAGUUGGCGGGGUAAAGGCCCACCAAGGCGACGAUCCGUAGCUGGUCUGAGAGGAUGAUCAGCCACACGGGAACUGAGACACGGUCCAGACUCCUACGGGAGGCAGCAGUGGGGAAUAUUGGACAAUGGGCGCAAGCCUGAUCCAGCCAUACCGCGUGGGUGAAGAAGGCCUUCGGGUUGUAAAGCCCUUUUGUUGGGAAAGAAAAGCAGCAGGUUAAUACCCCGCUGUUCUGACGGUACCCAAAGAAUAAGCACCGGCUAACUUCGCG
rnacentral:rRNA from 1 species